CCUACGGGAGGCAGCAGUGAGGAAUAUUGGUCAAUGGCCGGAAGGCUGAACCAGCCAAGCCGCGUGAAGGACGAAGGUGCCAAGCAUUGUAAACUUCUUUUGUCAAGGGACAAAAUCAGGCUCGAGAGCCUGACCGAGGGUACUUGAAGAAAAAGCAUCGGCUAACUCCGUGCCAGCAGCCGCGGUAAUACGGAGGAUGCGAGCGUUAUCCGGAUUUAUUGGGUUUAAAGGGUGCGUAGGCGGACUGUUAAGUCAGCGGUAAAAGCCCGGGGCUCAACCCCGGCGAGCCGUUGAAACUGGCGGUCUGGAGUGGUCGAAGGGUAUGUGGAAUGCGCGGGGUAGCGGUGAAAUGCUUAGAUAUUGCGAAGAACUCCGAUUGCGAAGGCAGCAUACCGGCGGCGAUCUGACGCUGAGGCACGAAAGCGUGGGUAUCGAACAGGAUUAGAUACCCGUGUAGUC
rnacentral:rRNA from 1 species